UGUCUGGCAGGAAUGAUGAUUCAAUUAGAUGUGUGAAAAGGGAAAUCCUUUUCAUGAACUUAAUUGUUUGAGGCAUUCAUUAGUCUGACUUGCCUACG